UACAGAGGUCUCAACCGUUGUUCGGAUUCACUGGGCGUAAAGGGUGCGUAGGCGGUUGUGCAAGUCGGAUGUGAAAUCCUAGGGCUCAACCCUGAAACUGCAUUCGAUACUGCGUGGCUCGAGUACUGGAGAGGAGACUGGAAUUUACGGUGUAGCAGUGAAAUGCGUAGAUAUCGUAAGGAACACCAGUGGCGAAGGCGAGUCUCUGGACAGUUCCUGACGCUGAGGCACGAAGGCCAGGGGAGCAAACAGG
rnacentral:rRNA from 1 species